UGUUAGAAAAAUGUUUUAUCACCGAUGUUUCAACCGUCAGGUAGCCAAUGAUGCCUACCCUGUGUCCACCUACUUGGACGACUACUGAUUUUGGAAUUUUCCCAUGAAGCCAAGAGUUCCAGGAAGAAAGUUCAAUCAGAGUUUACAGAGGCAUAAUUGAUUAAAAGAAAAGGUAUUUUUACCGGAUGGUUGGCUGCAUUCACGAACGGUGCCAGCCCCGCCACGCCAUCAUCAAAUUCAUGGUUGCCAAGAGACUACUCAGCACAAAAGGAUGAGGGAAAAAAAUCAAAAAUUAAUUGCUAAAAAUUUCUAAUCCCUACAUGUCGUGCCUGUAAACGUUUUGACAGCACAAUUGAUAAUAAUGAACGUUCAAUAUGUGCUGCCAGGCUUUCCGACGGAUGUGUACAAAGCAUAGGGCGUUUCCCCAUUCGUGGUUGUCUAAACCAGGAAAACGCGCUACAUCAAUAAUUAAGAAACAAAUUUAUCAACGUGAGUGUAAACAAACGGACCGUUAACGCGCUGCCACAUGGGUGGGAAAACUGUCGGCGAUGAUCAC